rnacentral:rRNA from 1 species
UACGUUCCCGGACCUUGUACACACCGCCCGUCAAGCCAUGGGAGUUGGGAGGACCUGAAGACAGUUGCUGUAAGGCGCUGUUUAGGGUUAAACCAAUGACUGGGGCU